rnacentral:rRNA from 1 species
AUYAUUAGGCACCAUGAAACGAUCAAACGACUCCGAAUGGCGAAAGCAUAUAGCCUUCCUUUUGCACACCGUAAUGUAGUGCACGAAUAAAGACUAGGCAAGACCGAGAGCCAGCAGCCGCAGAAAUUAAAAA